GGUUAAGUCCCGCAACGAGCGCAACCCUUGUCCUUAGUUGCCAGCAUUAAGUUGGGCACUCUAAGGAGACUGCCGGUGUUAAACCGGAGGAAGCGGGGAUGACGUCAAGUCCUCAUGGCCCUUAUGUCCAGGGCUACACACGUGCUACAAUGGCCGGUACAAAGGGUAGCAAGACCGCGAGGUGGAGCCAACCCCAAAAAGCCGGUCUCAGUUCGGAUUGGAGUCUGCAACUCGACUCCAUGAAGUUGGAAUCGCUAGUAAUCGUGGAUCAGCAUGCCACGGUGAAUACGUUCUCGGGGUUU
rnacentral:rRNA from 1 species